rnacentral:rRNA from 1 species
GACGAACGCUGGCGGCGUGCUUAACACAUGCAAGUCGAACGGAAAGGCCCUGCUUUUGUGGGGUGCUCGAGUGGCGAACGGGUGAGUAACACGUGAGUAACCUGCCCUUGACUUUGGGAUAACUUCAGGAAACUGGGGCUAAUACCGGAUAGGAUCUCCUGCUGCAUGGAGGGGGUUGGAAAUUUUCGGCGGUUGGGGAUGGACUCGCGGCUUAUCAGCUUGUUGGUGGGGUAGGGGCUUACCCAGGCAUUGACGGGUAGCCGGCCUGAGAGGGUGACCGGCCACAUUGGGACUGCGAUACGGGCCAGACUCCUACGGGAGGCAGCAGUGGGGAAUAUUACACAAUGGGCGGAAGCCUGAUGCAGCAACGCCGCGUGCGGGAUGACGGCCUUCGGGUUGUAAACCGCUUUCGCCUGUGACGAAGCGUGAGUGACGGUAAUGGGUGAAGAAGCACCGGCUAACUACGUG